rnacentral:lncRNA from 1 species
CGGUUAUCAGAAGUUGCGUUACCUUGGGGUAACCAUAGCAACAGCGUUUUUGGGGUCGAUAUAUGGUCGAGCGUCGACAAAAGUACUACUCUCACUAUUACUUUCGUUAUAUAUUUACGUAUCACUAAUAUAUAAAAACGUUUUAUAUAUUAAUAUCACAUUAUUUUUGUAAGUGUUUUUAAGAUAAACUGGCAGUCAUCAAACUACAAUUUGGGUUGCGCUACAUGAACCUCAACCGAUUUUUUCUUUCAAAAUUCUAAAAGAAAUUCCUUUGGAACGUUGACCGCUUGAAAGUAACCGAAUAAUUCGCGCUUUGGAAAUUUCCGCUGAAAAAAAGUCAGAAAAACUUCCAACAAAUCACUUUCACUUUACAACCUUGGCCAAAAAGGUGCAUCACUUCCUGUGAAAGCCGGGAAAACAACUGUCCGCACUUGUCAUCUGACCCUGAAAACAAAUUAAAAGUGAAACGCUGCUGCCCACAAUGACCUGUUUUCUCUCAACAAUAGGCCUGUGAGCGAGUCUCAGGCUGCUCUUUUUGAAUGGGAUGAUGAUCCCUCUGUGUCUGACGUCCUGGGAGUUCCAGGAGCUGCGGAUGAAUUCCGCACGAAGGCGCUGAGGCUCCAGUCAGACUGACGCCGCGGCUCUCGCUCGAUCCAAGCACACGCGCUGUGCACCUCCAGUCGGCGCGAGAUUCAGCGUUCGGCUGUUUCGCGGGAUUACCCGACUACGCGGAUCGUUUUUCGACUCGUCACGUUAAGGGGAGUUAGGUGAUUAAGCCUAUCUCAGCACUCAGACUGCCAGACGCCAGUUUCAUAAGGACACACUGCCUUUGAGAACAGAGGAGCAGAUGAAUUCACCCUCAACUGAUCUUCCUGCCUGCCUGUGCCUAUUUGAAACCAAAAUAAAAACGGCUGACUGCCUGACGAAAAAUCACUGUCAGGGGGUUUAUUCUAUACUCGCCUGUAUCUUGUCUGUAAAGAAAUAAACUGAGGCUCCUGGGUUGGAGUGAUUUAAAACAGAUCUGCCCCAAGCUUUGAGAAAAAUCUAGU